rnacentral:rRNA from 2 species
GAGUUUGAUCCUGGCUCAGAGUGAACGCUGGCGGCGUGCCUAAUACAUGCAAGUCGAACGAUGAAGCUUCUAGCUUGCUAGAAGUGGAUUAGUGGCGCACGGGUGAGUAACGCAUAGGUUAUGUGCCUCUUAGUUUGGGAUAGCCAUUGGAAACGAUGAUUAAUACCAGAUACUCCCUACGGGGGAAAGAUUUAUCGCUAAGAGAUCAGCCUAUGUCCUAUCAGCUUGUUGGUAAGGUAAUGGCUUACCAAGGCUAUGACGGGUAUCCGGCCUGAGAGGGUGAACGGACACACUGGAACUGAGACACGGUCCAGACUCCUACGGGAGGCAGCAGUAGGGAAUAUUGCUCAAUGGGGGAAACCCUGAAGCAGCAACGCCGCGUGGAGGAUGAAGGUUUUAGGAUUGUAAACUCCUUUUGUUAGAGAAGAUAAUGACGGUAUCUAACGAAUAAGCACCGGCUAACUCCGUGCCAGCAGCCGCGGUAAUACGGAGGGUGCAAGCGUUACUCGGAAUCACUGGGCGUAAAGAGCGCGUAGGCGGGAUAGUCAGUCAGGUGUGAAAUCCUAUGGCUUAACCAUAGAACUGCAUUUGAAACUACUAUUCUAGAGUGUGGGAGAGGUAGGUGGAAUUCUUGGUGUAGGGGUAAAAUCCGUAGAGAUCAAGAGGAAUACUCAUUGCGAAGGCGACCUGCUGGAACAUUACUGACGCUGAUUGCGCGAAAGCGUGGGGAGCAAACAGGAUUAGAUACCCUGGUAGUCCACGCCCUAAACGAUGGAUGCUAGUUGUUGGAGGGCUUAGUCUCUCCAGUAAUGCAGCUAACGCAUUAAGCAUCCCGCCUGGGGAGUACGGUCGCAAGAUUAAAACUCAAAGGAAUAGACGGGGACCCGCACAAGCGGUGGAGCAUGUGGUUUAAUUCGAAGAUACACGAAGAACCUUACCUAGGCUUGACAUUGAGAGAAUCCGCUAGAAAUAGUGGAGUGUCUAGCUUGCUAGACCUUGAAAACAGGUGCUGCACGGCUGUCGUCAGCUCGUGUCGUGAGAUGUUGGGUUAAGUCCCGCAACGAGCGCAACCCCCUUUCUUAGUUGCUAACAGGUCAUGCUGAGAACUCUAAGGAUACUGCCUCCGUAAGGAGGAGGAAGGUGGGGACGACGUCAAGUCAUCAUGGCCCUUACGCCUAGGGCUACACACGUGCUACAAUGGGGUGCACAAAGAGAAGCAAUACUGCGAAGUGGAGCCAAUCUUCAAAACGCCUCUCAGUUCGGAUUGUAGGCUGCAACUCGCCUGCAUGAAGCUGGAAUCGCUAGUAAUCGCAAAUCAGCCAUGUUGCGGUGAAUACGUUCCCGGGUCUUGUACUCACCGCCCGUCACACCAUGGGAGUUGUGUUUGCCUUAAGUCAGGAUGCUAAACUAGCUACUGCCCACGGCACACACAGCGACUGGGGUGAAGUCGUAACAAGGUAACCGUAGGUGAACCUGCGGUUGGAUCACC